AAAAAAAGUGACCUAUGAGUGCUAUGACUUAUGUCACUAUUAUUUUAACAAAUGUUACAUGGCAAAGAGAUGAACAACUACUCAUUCUUUAUCAUGAUUGGUAGAGAAGUUGGUAGCUGUUCUGCUGUUUUCUCUCUCUUAACUAUUGUUGGUAUAUACAGGAAAAUUGUUAUUUACUUAUAGCCUAAGUGAUGACAGUGAACAUGGUUUCAAUUUGGGACUAAAAUGUUAACAGCCUAUCAUAUCUCCUUGACGAAAUAAGAUUAUUUACUUGAAAAAAAAAACUUUA